UGGCGCACGGGUGAGUAACGCGUGGAUUAUCUACCUAUUGGUACGGGACAACAGUUGGAAACGACUGCUAAUACCGUAUAAGCUGGUAACGGGAAAGGGGGCCUCUUCUUGAGAGCUCUCGCCAGUAGAUGAGUCCGCGUUUCAUUAGCUAGACGGUGGGGUAACGGCCUACCGUGGCAACGAUGAAUAGCAGGCCUGAGAGGGUGGCCUGCCACACUGGGACUGGAACACGGCCCAGACUCCUACGGGAGGCAGCAGUGGGGAAUAUUGCGCAAUGGACGAAAGUCUGACGCAGCGACGCCGCGUGGAGGAUGAAGGUUUUCGGAUCGUAAACUCCUGU
rnacentral:rRNA from 1 species